rnacentral:rRNA from 1 species
AUUGAACGCUGGCGGCAGGCCCAACACAUGCAAGUCGAACGGUAACAGAAAGCAGCUUGCUGCUUUGCUGACGAGUGGCGGACGGGUGAGUAAUGUCUGGGAAACUGCCUGAUGGAGGGGGAUAACUACUGGAAACGGUAGCUAAUACCGCAUAACGUCGCAAGACUAAAGAGGGGGACCUUCGGGCCUCUUGCCAUCGGAUGUGCCUAGAUGGGAUUAGCUAGUAGGUGGGGUAACGGCUCACCUAGGCGACGAUCCCUAGCUGGUCUGAGAGGAUGACCAGCCACACUGGAACUGAGACACGGUCCAGACUCCUACGGGAGGCAGCAGUGGGGAAUAUUGCACAAUGGGCGCAAGCCUGAUGCAGCCAUGCCGCGUGUAUGAAGAAGGCCUUCGGGUUGUAAAGUACUUUCAGCGAGGAGGAAGGUGUUGUGGUUAAUAACCACAGCAAUUGACGUUACUCGCAGAAGGAGCACCGGCUAACUCCGUGCCAGCCGCCGCAGUAA